rnacentral:tRNA from 1 species
GGAUAUGUGCCCGAAUUUAAGGACUACUUUGAUAGAGUAGAUAAUAGAGGUUAAAGUCCUCUCAUUUCCU